rnacentral:rRNA from 1 species
CGUGCGGGGGGCUGCCGUCGGGCCUCUUCCGCAAUGGACGAAAGUCUGACGGAGCAACGCCGCGUGAGCGAAGAAGGUCUUCGGAUCGUAAAGCUCUGUUGUUAGGGAAGAACAAGUACGGGAGGAAAUGACCGAACCUUGACGGUACCUACGGAGGAAGCCACGGCUAACGCGGUGCCAGCAGCGGGGGUAAUACGUAGGUGGCAAGCGUUGUCCGGAAUUAUUGGGCGUAAAGCGGGGGCAGGCGGUCUUUUAGUUCUGGUUGGAAAUCUUGCGGCUCAACCGAAAGCGGUCAUUGGAAACUGGGAGACUUGAGUGCAGAAGAGGAAAGCGGAAUUCCACGUGUAGCGGUGAAAUGCUUAGAGAUGUGGAGGAACACCAGUGGCGAAGGCGGCUUUCUGGUCUGUAACUGACGCUGAGGCGCGAAAGCGUGGGGAGCAAACAGGAUUAGAUACCCGAGUAGUC